GGACAGUUGGGUGAGUUGGCUGAAACCACACCCCUGCUAAGGGUGCGUGCUCGAAAGGGUACCGAGGGUUCGAAUCCCUCACUGUCCGCCA
rnacentral:tRNA from 1 species